rnacentral:rRNA from 1 species
UACGGAGGGUGCGAGCGUUAUCCGGAAUCACUGGGUUUAAAGGGUGCGUAGGCGGCGAGGUAAGUCAGUUGUGAAAUUCCCCGGCUCAACCGGUGGGACUGCGAUUGAUACUGCUUUGCUUGAAACAGGUUGAGGUAAGCGGAAUGUGACAUGUAGCGGUGAAAUGCAUAGAUAUGUCAUAGAACACCGAUUGCGAAGGCAGCUUGCUGGGCCUUGUUUGACGCUGAGGCACGAAAGCGUGGGGAGCAAACAGG